AUUUAUAUAGUUUAACUAAAAACAUUACAUUUUCACUGUAAAAUUAAAAUAUUUUUUUAUAAAUU
rnacentral:tRNA from 1 species